rnacentral:tRNA from 1 species
GCGGGAGUAGCUCAGUUGAUAGAGCAUUAGCCUUCCAAGCUGAGGGUCGCGGGUUUGAGUCCCGUCUCCCGCUCCA